GCAAGUCGAGCGCUACCUUCGGUUGGAGCGGCGGACGGGUGAGUAACGCGUGGGAACAUACCCGUCACUAAGGAAUAGCCAUUGGAAACGAUGAGUAAUACCUUAUACGCCCUUCGGGGGAAAGAUUUAUCGGAGAUGGAUUGGCCCGCGUUAGAUUAGAUAGUUGGUGGGGUAAUGGCCUACCAAGUCUACGAUCUAUAGCUGGUUUUAGAGGAUGAUC
rnacentral:rRNA from 1 species